GGUGACGAUUCAUUCACAGAUUUGUAUUCCCAUACACCUCCCUUGCAGACAGUGAAAUGUGCCAACUUAGCAGUCCGGAACGUAAUCGAUUUGUUGCAUUCUGCUGAAUGGCGAGAGAUCAGUUUUAUUGAUUCUUUUCUGGGAAAUAGUGUCCACCCCCUCCCUGUUCUCAACUGGUAUGUACACUCUAUACUUACAUGGGCACCUUAUCCACCACCCCCCACCCAUAUUUUAUUUUCUCUUCUUCCAUUACCGAAGCUCUGUAGAUCAAUUUCUUUAAAACCUAUAUUUAUGACUUCAAACUAAAAUAUAUAUAUAGCCUACAUCUAGAACGUAAAGUCACUUCAAAGUAAUUUAUGCAGUCCGAUACGCUAGUUGUGUUUAUUUCAAUGCUAUAAGUAGAUAACACAGUUCACACUUACACACACACACACAUAUAUACUCUCUCUCUCUCUCACACACACACAUACACACACACUAAUGGCGACCUGGUAAACUUAGGUUAUGAUCUAAUGGUCUAAUGGUCUUCCUGCUCACUGAACUAAUGCAUGUCCCCGGGGAAGUGUACCUGGGAAGACACCCUCCGCACCAGCGACUUUCAGAUGUCGAAUUAAGUUUCGAUUUUAAAAGGUCUUUUAGUUUGUUUUAAAUGAAGACUGCGAUCACCUCUUCGGCGCAUACCUUGAUCCACGCGGCAUGAGUUUGUGUGUCUCUCUAGCGUCUCGCUCUGUCUGUAGUAGCACCUUUUUUUUAUACAUAUAUAUAUUUCUACGAGAAUCGAAUCGAUAUUAUUCUUUUAUUGCUUAUUUUGUUCGUUGUGAUCUUGUUCUAAGGUGAUCAGUGAACUAUUUAUAGAGUUAUGGGGACGACAUAAUUAAUGUGCAAUUGUUAUUUCACAUGAACUUUUUCCUUAUAGAGUGGAAACGUAAAUUACUGGUUCGUAUUACACGGCCAUACACUACAAGAUCAUAGCUGACAUUUGGCAAUGUCUCAUUGUAUCAGAUACAAAAUAUCUGAUAACAGACGAUGUUAUCAAUCACAGCAGAUGAAACCAAUGUGUGUACCGGCAUGCUCUAGGCAGAUAGACAUUCCAUGGAGAGAUACUGCCCCGAUACUACUGGACGUAUAGAGCGACUUGAACCAAAAAUUAGAUAAAGUAGAAGAGCUAGCUCACGCUAGACGCUAGAUCUAAAAUUUAUGUUGCUAAAAUCUCAUGGGAAUUUCUCAAGGCUAAAAGAAAGCCAUCAACAUGCCGGAAUAAUGUGACCACUCAGGUGGUGCAGCCUGCAGCAAUGACCACAUCAGUUAGAGCAUGUAUAUCUUGAGGCUGGUCGUGCUGUCCUUACUUAUAAUUCUGGAGGGCAGAGGAAACAGUUCAAACCCUUGUGUGUGUAUCAACUCAAAAGAAAAACAAUCUUUUCUCAAACGUAUCCGACGAUUGGAAGAAGGUAAGAAUAGACGUUUUUCAUUUACAAAAACAUUCUGUUUGCGAGAUUUGCGACAUACAUUAAAUAGUCUGUAAUUACGUUACGUCAAUAAUUGUAUUUGGCCAGUAUAUCAUCUCGUCAAUAAUUGUAUGUGACCAGUAUAUUAUCUCCUCAAUAAUUGUAUGCGGUCAUUAAUAUCUUCUUGCCUAUAAUUUUAUGUGGCCAGUAUAUCAUCUCGUCAAUAAUUGUAUGUGGCCAGUAUAUCAUCUCGUCAAUAAUUGUAUGCGAUCAUUAAUAUCUUCUUGCCUAUAAUUGUAUGUGGUCAUUUUUAUCGUCUUGUCUGUGCAGUUCUGUGAUUAUUAAUG
rnacentral:sRNA from 1 species